UGCGGCUCUAAUCGCUUGGAUCAAUAGUCUAAGGCUGGAAGUUCAGUGCAUAGGCUGAGAAGGAGGACAGGGUAAAGGAAAUGCACCAUACCGUGGCGUAGGGCACGGCCAACAGGCUGCAGCUCCAGACCCGGCGGUGUUGAGAGCUCAGUGGAGGAUACGUUUGGCUCGGAUCAGGAGGAUCCUAUAGGCUCUUGCCGGAGUUUCUGCACAUGUGGUAAGUGCAGGAGUCAACACCUGUUUCAGUGUUUAUUUACAGUCACAGCGUUUAACCUCACGCUUCCUACCUCGCCAGGCAGAUCAUGUCCGAGGUCAAGGCACUCAUCACUCAGAUCACAGAUGCGUUAAAGUAACGUCUGAACUUAUUCACUCUUAUUCGCUGUCUCUCUCUCUACACGUUCAUUACGCACCAGUUUCACUGACUGUGUUUAGCCUGCAGCCGAGAAGCUGACGGAAGGUGAGCUGCAUGAUGGCAGGCUGAUCGCCGAUCAGAAGGUACUAUACUGAAAUACUCCACCCCGGUCAGAGUAACUCUUCUGCACUGUAGCUUUGUAGAUAGAAGUUGUUUUAGUUUGAGAUGGCGUUGUCACCCUCAGGUUCGAGUUUAGCGCAGAAGAAGCGUUACAGGAACUUGUCAUUAAUGUCUCACUGUGACCCGAAAGCUGCUUGUUGGAUGUUUAAUGUAAGAUUAGAAAGUUCAGCUGGUUUAUCUCCUCUCAGGUGUGUGUAAAAGAGAACCUGGCUGUGUCCUUGCAGCGUGUGAUUUCUAUUUCAUCUGUGUUUUCAGAAGGAGGGGGAAGAUUGAGGAGCCAAUUUUUAUUUUGUUUUUUGCUAAAUAAAAGGUUUCUUUAAACAACCAACACCUGCCUGACUGUACGAGUUAUUUACAUGAACCAGUCGCAGGAACGUCUUGCUAUUAGGGAUGUGAAAGUGAUAAUAUCUUUUUGUACACAGCGUAAUAGAACUGAGGCAUCAGGAAUCCCAAAUAUAGUAAUGAGUGGGCAAGGUUUUAAAUCUACUCUGAGAAUAGUGGACAUGACAGUAAAGAAACCAGUCCAAAAACCAUGGAGAUCAGGGCAAAAUAAAAACAUAUGGCCAAGAUGACAGGGAGAGCCAUGGCAUUUAUCACACUUGUCCUCUACUUCUGGAUAUAUUACAGAAAGUCUCGACUUAGACAAAUGGACUCUGUGUAAAACUUUGAACUGGAUGAGUCCAAGACGAGCACAGGAAGUGG